UACAGAGGGGGCAAGCGUUAUUCGGAAUUAUUGGGCGUAAAGGGCGCGUAGGCGGCUUAGCAAGUGGAUGGUGAAAUCCCUCGGCUUAACCGAGGAACUGCCGUCCAAACUGCUUCGCUUGAGACCGGGAGAGGUGAGUGGAAUUCCCAGUGUAGCGGUGAAAUGCGUAGAUAUUGGGAGGAACACCAGUGGCGAAGGCGGCUCACUGGACCGGUACUGACGCUGAUGCGCGAAAGCGUGGGGAGCAAACGGG
rnacentral:rRNA from 1 species